AAUCUUCGGGUCUGUGAUUGAAAGCCGAUGCCAGUCGCAGGCAAAACGGUCCACGUAAUCUGUCCAAAGCGGCAGGGAGCAUGGUGCGGUCUAGAUGUAAGUCCAUCCGGGUUUAUCCUGUAUAAACCCGAGAGGAGUGCGUGAGGGCGCAGAGGCGCAGAGCAACCUCCCGGAUGGCGUGUGUGGGGUCAAAAAUCAGGUCAGCCGGAGAUU
rnacentral:ncRNA from 1 species